rnacentral:rRNA from 1 species
UACGUAGGGUGCGAGCGUUAAUCGGAAUUACUGGGCGUAAAGCGUGCGCAGGCGGUUUUGUAAGACAGGUGUGAAAUCCCCGGGCUUAACCUGGGAACUGCGCUUGUGACUGCAAGACUCGAGUACGGCAGAGGGGGGUAGAAUUCCACGUGUAGCAGUGAAAUGCGUAAAGAUGUGGAGGAAUACCGAUGGCGAAGGCAGCCCCCUGGGAUGAUACUGACGCUCAUGCACGAAAGCGUGGGGAGCAAACAGG